ensembl:snoRNA
UGAUGACAUUCUCCGGAAUCGCUGCAUCGCUGUGAUGAAAGCACAUUUGAACCCUUUUCCAUCUGACGGCCGGGCUCUCGC